rnacentral:rRNA from 1 species
CUUGACCGCUGGCGGCAGGCCUAACACAUGCAAGUCGAGCGGAGCGGCGGACGGGUGAGUAAUGCCUAGGAAUCUGCCUGGUAGUGGGGGAUAACGUCCGGAAACGGGCGCUAAUAUCGCAUACUAGCAGAUGAGCCUAGGUCGGAUUAGCUAGUUGGUGGGGUAACGGCCUCCCAAGGCGACGAUCCGUAACUGGUCGGAGAGGAUGAUCAGUCACACUGGGACUGAGACACGGUCCAGACUCCUACGGGAGGCAGCAGUGGGGAAUAUUGGACAAUGGGCGAAAGCCUGAUCCAGCCCUGCCGCGUGUGUGAAGAAGGUCUUCGGAUUGUAAAGCACUUUAAGUUGGGAGGCGUUACCACCAUAAUAAGCACCGGCUAACUUCGUGCCAGCCGCCGCGGUAAUUC